rnacentral:RNase_P_RNA from 1 species
GAGGCAGGACGAUCCGCCGCGCCGGGGAACCGGUGAGGAAAGUCCGGACAGGGAAGGGCACUCCGCCGGGGAAAGCCCGGAUGGGAGCAAUCGCAUGGAGGCCGUAACAGAAAAGAACCGCAGGAACCGCCCGGCCCGGCCGGGCACUCUUGCAAGGGUGAAAACGCGGGGUAAGAGCCCACGACGGAAGGCAGCGAUGUCUUUCGGGUACGGUCCCGGAGCCUGCAAGACCAAAUAUACCGGCAGCCGAAGGCGGCCCGCCUGAUGCCGGGGGGUAGGUCGCGCAGAUAAAUGGCGGAUUUAAAAACAGAAACCGGCUUACAGUCCUGCCUAUUUC